ensembl:lncRNA
GCGCGGGCGCGCCCGUGUGUGUGUGUGUGUGUGUGUGUGUGUGUGUAAGAGUGAGAGAGGCUUGAAAAGAGGAGGGAUGGAACCAGAGUGAAGGACUGAUGCUUCCCCGCGCCUACACCGCAUGUUCCGAAAAGAAGAGAAGAAAGGUCAGGUAUCCUGACCGCAGUUCUUUCGCUCGCAUGAUGGGCAUCCUGGAUUGCUGGAUCAGUGAGGCAGGAGCUGGGCUGAGUACUGGAGAUGUACAACAGUGAACACGACAGGAUCCUGACCCUUCCAGAAAACCGAGGAGAAAGGGCGUGGCUUUUCCACUUCUGAAGGGGACACACCGGCAGGGGAGGUGCAUACCCAGAGGCAGACCCUGCUCUGGCGGCAGAACCAGGACUAGAACUGAGGACUUCCAGCACUCGAGCUGUCUUCUCUGUUCCAUCCCACAGGCUGCCUGGGAAAGACAGGCCCUGGUCUUCAUGCUGCUCGGGGCACAGCAGGGAGAAGAUGUGCUGCCCAUUCUGACCCUCACCCCCAGCUCCUCGGGGGUCCCCAGUAUUCCCCUCCCCAAACAGCCUCAUGGGAACAAACCUGUUCUACAGAUACCAUGAUUCCCACCCCGGCCCCAUGUUACAGGUGAGGAAAGUGAACGUUCAGAGAGGGAAAGUGACUCCCCCAAGGUGACACAGCGAGCCUAGGAGGACUUGCUCCUCCGUUCUGGCGCCAUACUGCUUCUGUUGGCCUUUGUGGGCUCGCUGUGCUGACAGAAACGUGGGCAGUUGUGUGCCAGGAGAACCCGAUUCCCUUGUCAGGCUCCUAUAGACUGGAUGUUGAGGAUGCUUCUGCCAAACACUCAGGUUUCUGGGUACAGUAGUCAGAGCAUCAGGGCUCGAACUGGCAGAAAGCCUACCUUAAAAUGGUAAGGACAGGGUCGAGCAAGCUCUAGGCAUGGCUGCACUGAGGAGCUCAGAUGAUGUCGUCAGGAUUCAGGGUCAGUCUCUUGGUCCCUCAAGAUUCUUUCCCUCCCUACUGAUCUCAUUCUCUGGCAGGCUCUCCUCCUAAUCACAAAGCAGCUGCCAGCAGCUCUAGCCAUGCGUCCUAAUCUCCCACAGCUCCAGCAGAAACAGAGACUCUUUUCCCAACAGUUCUAACAGCAUUCGCCAAACCAAGUCUCAUUGGCUGUUACUGAAAUAUGUAUCCAUUCCUUGGCCAGUCAGUGUGACCAAGGGUUCUGAUUGGCCAGGCCACCGAGCCUGAGGGUCUCAGAGGUACCUGGUGUUUGAAGUCCAUGUGGGUCUAGCUAUCCCAGCCUCAGGACUCAGCAAGAUCCAAGUGUGAAAAGUGAAAGUGAAAGUUGAUCAGUCGUGUCCGACUCUUUACAACCCCAUGGACUAUGCAUGGAAUUCUCCAGGCCAGAAUACUGGAGUGGAUAGCCAUUUCCUUCACCAGGGGAUCUUCCCAAUGCAGGUCCAAGAAGAAUCCUCCAGAAUUUGUAGAGAGGCUUAUAUUUCAUAGGCCUUCAAUAAAUGGCAACAGUUUUUAUUGGUAUUCUUCCUCCACUUUUCCUCUGUUAUCAUCUUGAUGGUAAUGUCUAGCAUACAGUGUGUACCCCAGGAAUCCUUAGUGGUUAACUGAUUUGGAUAGGGGGUUGCUGAUACCACGUACCAAGUCAGAGUCUGGAUAGAUUGGACAGCUAUAGGUCUGCAGACAAAAUGAGACUCGUUAAAAGAGCUAUUCGAUUUUUUAUUUUGUCUUGUCUUCCAUAACAGAACUGAAGCUAUAGUCUAGAGCUCCUGGAGAGUAUCACCAGACUCUCUAGGAACAGACUCCCCUAUCACACACACCCACCCACCAGCCUGUCUAAGAGGAUGUAGUAAGGAGGAGCCCGUUAGGAGGUUGGUCCAGGAGGGCAGGCAGAGCUUGUCAGAUCCAAUUAGACUAUUUCUUGACUCACCCGAUGCUGUAGAGAGGUUGCCUGGGAUGGGGCUGGGGACCAGGAUGUUCCAGCCUGAUCCUUUUCUCCUUGGGCCACUAGCUACUCUGAUUCAGUUGGGCAGUUUGAGUUUCUGUGAGGGAUUGGAGGUCCAUUAAGUCCUGACCAACAGUAGAUGCUGUUUAUCAAAUGUGCCCUGGGCCCCAUACUUGGCACUUUACAUGAUUUAAAUACAGGACCAUUGGAACAUAUUUUGGAUGCUCACAUUAUACCUGCUUUUCCUUUACUAAAAAAAAUUAUUUAUUUAUGGCUGCACUGGGUCUUCCUUGCUGCAUGCGGGCUUUCUCUAGCUGUGGCAAGCAGGGGUUUUCUCACUGCAGUGGCUUCUCCCCUCGCAGAGCGCAGGACCUAGAUGUGCGGGCUUCAGUAGUUACCCCUCGGAGGAGGCUUAGUUACCCCUUGGCAUGUGGAAUCUUCCUGGACCAGGGAUGGAACCUGUGUCCCCUGCAUUGGCAGGCAGAUUUCUUAACCACUGGACCACGAGGGAAGUCCCCCUCCUACCUUUCAGGAAGAAAACUGUAGUUCAGGUAUCUUCAGCCUGGCUUUGUCCUGUGGAUCUGAGUAACAGGGUGAGGGAGGAGAAAGACAGAAGCCAGGAGAGACAGGGCAGAGGAUGCUGGAAGGGAGGAGACGGGAGAGGCUGGAGCAGGAGCCAGGGAGCCAGAGCCGUGAAGCCUGAGCUUUGAGAAAAUAUUUGAGGGACUCGGAAGACAGAUGUGUGUGCUGUGUGCAGAGGGUGGGAGGGAAGAAGAGAAGAAGGAACAAAGAGAGGAAAAGGAAUGUUAAGAAGUUAUGUUGAAAUUAUGCAUGAAAUCUUUAAAUGAAUGAAAUCUUUAACAUUUUUGGAAGUACUGAAUAAACAUUUGAAUUGCUUUUUUUGUGUGUGGUGGGGAAAGGAAAUGAUAUUUCUAAUUCAAUAAGGAUUUGAGACUGGCCUCAAAGUGGCUCAGCUUUUACCCAGGUUACUCUUCUUAUAAACAAAAAAUGAGAUUACACAAUAAUAAGAUUGCUACAAUGCAUUGCCUGCUUACUGUAUGCCAGACAGUGUGCUAAUCACUCGUCCGUAUUGUUCAACUCUGUAAUACCCACGGGGGAGGAUACUGCUAUCUCACUUUACAAAUGAGGAAACCGAGGCUCAGAGAAGCAAAGCAACUUGCCCAAGGUCACAGAGCCAGAAAGUAGGGAGCAGGGAUGAUAUAGCUUUUCUUUUUCUUUUCUUUAGGGGAGGGGCGGGGGAGGGGAAAGCACAGAGUCUUAACCACUAGACCAC